rnacentral:lncRNA from 1 species
UUUAAUUAAUCAAAAUUCUCAUAAUGUAAGUCUAAAUGAACAGUGCGGAAUAAGUACACAAGUCCAAUAUCGGGGUGUCACAAGUCACGAGAAUCUACUAAGGUCUGAAUACAACAAAGAGUGUAAAAAUGUACUAUAUACAGUCUAAGGAAGACAAGAGGGAGAAAAUUCGUGCUGCGAACAUCGGACAGCUACCUUGCUAACUCCAAUGACUCUGCCAUUGAGCAAUCAAACCCGCUACCGGGUUCAAAAGUAUCUGAAUCUGCAUAAAAGGUACAGGGAGUAAUGUGAGUACGCCAACUCACUAAGUAAUAAAAGUAAAUGAAAUGUGAGCAAUAAGAAAAUGCGUAAGCCACGUCAUAACGCUGCAGCAAAUGCAGUACAUUUCCAAAACAAUACAUAUAUCAUUUACUUCGUAAAUCAUGCUCUUUUCGGUAAAAUAUUUUAAAACAACUUUAAAUGGUUUCAAACGAGUGAUAAAAUAGUGAGUAAAAAUGAUAGAAACGUAAACAGCCCAUCGAACAAAACAUGUACCAUAAAUCGCCCCUCGGGCAUAAUAUCAACAGAACCAGCCCCUCGGGCUACCUCACAAUCACGCGUAAUCAGCCCCUUGGGCAUAACAUGAAUCAAGAACCGCCUCUCGGGCAAAACAACGGAUCAAAAACAGUCCUUCGUGCAACACUUUGUAACAACAACAACCCCUCAGCUACAUCAUACCACUCACACUAGGUACCCGCGCUCACUGGGAAUGUACAGACUCUGGGAGGGGCCCUUUAUGGUCCAAGUGCAAUAUCAAGCCAUCUCAUGGCGUAACACAGCCACCUCGUGGCGUAACAACUCACACUAGGUACUCGCGCUCACUGGGGGAUGUACAGCCUAUAGGAGGGGCCGCUUACGGCCCAAGCGUAAUAACAAGCCAUCUCAUAGCAUAAUCAAACAUGCUAUCUACCUCAUAUCAAGCCACCUCGUUGCGUAAACACUCAAGCCCUCGGCCUCCUAAUCAUGAAUCAAAACAAUAUCGCUGCAGCGCGCAGCCCGAUCCCAUAAUAACCUUACAACACAGGCCCUCAACCUCACUCAGUUAGAAAUCUCUAAAAGCCCAUAGGGCACUAUAAAAUAUGAUGCUUAGCCCAAAUAUCAUUUAAGAUGUCAAAACAGAGUAAACAUGGUUGAGUUAUAAAAGCAGUAGAAUACAACAUGACUGUAACGACCCAAAGGGGUCAUCACCUGUUUCUUUAUUUGUUCUGUGACUCCGGGGCCUUGGAAACCUAAAUUAGGGUUUCCUCGAUUUGUGUGAGUAGUCCGGUGCGUAGCCGGAAAUCUUAAAUAUGAAUUUCUGUGAGAAAAGUGCUAAAUUUUAAUAUUUAAAAUGAUUACAUUUGACUUCGGUCAACAUUUUGAGUAAACGACCUGGACCCGUAAUUUACCAGUCCUGGAGGGUCCGUAAGAAAAUAUGGGAGUUGGGCGUAUGCCCGGAAUCAAAUUUCGAGGUUCCAAGCCCGAUGAAUGAAUUUUUGAGUAAAAUUGAUUUCUGGAAAUAAUUAUAGAAAAUGGAAAUGAAAUUCGAUUAGAAGAUUACGGUAUCGGGGCCGGAAUUUUUGUUCUGGCGUCCGGUACAUGUCUUAUACGUGAUUUAAGCCCUUUCUGUAAAGUUUGGUUAAAAUCGAACGUCGUUGACGCGAUCCGGACCCUAAUUGGGAAUUUAUACUUAAAAGGGAGAUUUGAGAAAUUUCAUUGAUCUUGAGGCUCAAUUCCAUGUUCAUGAUGCUAUAUUGGUGAUUUGAUCACACGAAUAUGUUUGUAAGAUAUUUUGAGGUGUGUAUGCCUUGAUUAGAGUUUUGAGGGCUCGGAUGAGAUUUGAGUAGGUUACGGGAUGCCUUAGGCUUAAAAAGAUCAGAUUUUGCAGGUUCGAAAAUUUGGCAUGUCUCUGAACCCUCUAGCGCGGCUCGCAAGAAAUCAUUACACGAAUAUGUUUAUAAGAUGUUUUGAGGUGUGUAUGCCUGGAUUAGAGUUUUGAGGGCUCGGGUCAGCUUUGAGUAGGUUCCGGGAUGCCUUAGGCUUAAAAAGAUCAUAUGUUGCAGGUUCAGAAAUUUGGCAUGUCUUUGAACCCUCUAGCGCAGCCCGCGAGAAAUCGCAUGCGGCCGUGGAGGGUCCAGCACGGCAGCAGUCCCCUUUGUGGGGUCCGCAAUGGGUGCUGCGCGGCCGCGGUCGGUUUGGUGCGGUCCGCAUUGGGCAGUAACCUGCAGGCCUUCAGAAAGCAUGUGCGGCCACGGUCCUUUUUAUGUAGUUUGCAUAGGGAACCUCAGAUGAGUAUAAAUACACAUGAAUUUUAGUUAUUUUACACUUUCAAAAACCCCAAUACUUAAUAGGCGAUUUUCCAAACAACUCUUCUUAUCCAAAACGAUUGGUUAGUGAUUACAAACUUAUUUUCUUCACUCAUUAAAAUCUUUUAACAUGAUCUCAACUUCAAAUGAAAGAUUUUCAUGGGAAAAUUGGGUGUUUUGCGUAAAACCUAGGUUUUCUAAAAAUUGGGGAGUUGGACCUCAAUUUGAGGUCCGAUUCCAAAACAAAUCAUAUAUUUGGAUUCGUGGGGGAAUGGGUAACCAGAUUUUGGUCCGAACCUCGAGUUUCGACCUUGUGGGCUGGGGGGAAUUUUUUAUCUUUUGAGGUAAAAAUUUGUAAAAUUUAUUUUCAUGCAUCGGGAUUGAUUCAUUUAGUAUUUGUUGAUGAGAUAAAGUAACUUAUGAUUAGAUUCAAGCGGAUUGGUGGUGGAACAAAGGGGAAAAGCUAUAAUUGAGGAUGAGUUGAAUUCAAGGCAUUAAGGUAAGUGUUCGAUCUAACCUUAGCUUGAGGGAUUAGGAGUUGAGUCUUAUGUGCUAAUUGUUCUUUGUUGAGACGACGUAUAGGCAUGAUGACUAGUAUCUAUACGUUGGUGUCAAGCAUGACCGUGGGUCCUAAAUUGAAAGUUGUUGUAUACUUAAAUGACAUCAUAUAUGCCUUAAAUAAUGAUCUAUCGUAUCGGGCAAAGAUUUGUUUCUCCUCGUAGAUCCUAAUUUUGAUUGAGUAUAGGGUUGGUUAUAGUUGAUUCUCCCUUGCCGGGAUGAUUGUUUCUAUAUUGUUGUUCCCUUUCCGAGAAGUUAUUAUCUUACUUUGUUCCCUUGCCGAGAUUUGUUGUGAUUAUGUGAUAACAUGAAAUGCGAUCGGGUGGUACGCCUACCACGAGAUGUAAUAAAAUAGGAGUGGGUGAUACGCCUACCGCAAGAUAUUGAAAUGGGAGCGGGUGGUACGCCUGCCACGAGAUAUUGAAAUGGGAUCGGAGGGUACACCUACCACGAGAUGUAAUGAAAUGGGACUGGGUGGUACGCGUACCACAAGAUAUUGAAAUGGGAGCGAGUGGUACGCCCACCACAAGAUAUUGAAAUAGGAGCGGUGGUACGCCUACCACGAGAUAUUGAAAUGGGAGCCGGUGGUACGCCUACCAUGAGAUAUAAUAAAAUGGGAGCGGGUGGUACGCCUACCACGAGAUAUAAUAAAAAUGGGAGCGGGUGGUACGCCUACCUUGAGAUAUUGAAAUGGGAGCGGGUGGUACGCCUACCACAAGAUAUCUUGAAAUGGGAUUGGGUUGCACGCCUGCAAAAAGAUUGAAACUAAAAGUGAAAGUUGUCUUUACUUCUUUUUACUUGCGUUAGAAGUUAAAUUAUAGUUUUUUCUUAUUGUUCUUGAUAUUCUGUUUACCUGUCAUCCCUACAGCAUGUUCCCCUUUCCCCAGCUUUAAGUGUAUAUUACUUGUUUACUUUUCCGCUAUAUAUUAUAUAAUUGCACUGGCUUAUAUGGAGUCUGGUCCUAGCCUCGUCACUACUUCGUCGGUUAGGCCAGACACUUACCAGCACAUGGAGUUGGUUGUGCUGAUGCUAUACUCUGUGCUCUUUUGCACAGAUCUAGGUGCCGGAGUAGCAUUUGAGCAGCAGUACUAGAUCCGGAGCCAGCCUUAAGUCCACCGAGAUACCGUGGUAGCCUUGCAAACGUCCGUAGGCCCGGAGUCUCCUCUAUCUUUCUUUUCAUUUUGUUAUCUCAUGUAUUCCGAGACAAAUAUUGUUAUAUUCUUUUCAAACGGUUGUGUGUAGUACUCUUAGUGGUUCGUGAGUAUGUGAUACAAGUUCUUGGAUAGAGAUUAUGUUGAUUUUUUCGUAUUAUUGUUUAGAUUCUUUAACUUAAGACUUUCACUUAUUUAUUUUAUUCUGUUGUUUCAUGGUAUUACCGAUAAUUGCUAAAAGGAGUAAAUCAUUUAUGGAAAAAUGGUAGUUAAAGGUUGGCUUGCCUAUCUUUCAACAGUAGGCGCCAUCACGACUCCCGAGGGUGGGAAUUUUGGGUUGUGACAAGUUGGUAUCAGAGGUCUAGGUUGCAUAGGUCUCAAAACUCAUGGACAAGCUUAGUAGAGUCUAAGGGAUCGAUACGGAGACGUCUGUAUUUAUCCCCAGAGGCUACAAAGUUAGGAAAAUUUCACAUCUGUUCUUUCUUGUCGUGCAAAUUGGUUUCCUAGUGCUAAUUGAAAUUCUACUCUAUUCUAUCGCAGAUGGCAAGAACACGUGUUUUCCCAUGUUCUGAUCAGCAGUCCGAGCCCUAGAUAGCUUUCAUUAGGGGUAGAGGCUGAGGCUGUGCUAGAGGCCGAGGUAGGGACGGAUCUCAGCCCCGAGCAGCAGCACCACUGGCGGAGCCUCAGGUUAAAUUUGACGAGGAGGUUUCGACCCUAAUCCCAGCAAUUCCGGUGAGCCCAGCUCAUGUCCCAGAGGGGUUUAUUGCUACCCCAGUUCUUCAGGACACUCUGGUCUAAUUGGUGGGUCUUAUGGAGAAUGUUACCCGAGCAGGUUUACUUCCAGUAGUACCAGCUGUCUCUCAGGAUGGAGGAAGGGCCCAGACUCCUGCUACUCAUACUCCGGAGUAGGUAGCUCCCCAGGUUCAGAUUCUAGUGGUUUAGCCAACUAUGGCAGUUCAGCCGGGAGUGGUUGCUCAGACCGGCAAUGGAGCAGCUAUGUCCGCAGAUGCUUUGUGGAGGCUGGAUAGGUUCACCAAGUUUUUCACAUCUUCAUUCAGCGGUGCAUCUACUGAGGAUCCCCAGAAUUACCUGGAUAGGUUUCAUGAGGUUUUUCAGAACAUGGGGAUCGUUGAGACCGAUGGGGUUGAUUUCUCUACUUUUCGGUUGUCUGGAUCUGCUAAGACUUGGUGGAGGGAUUAUUGUUUAUCUGGGCCAACAGGAUCUCCAGCCUAUACCUGGGAGCAGUUCACACAUGUAUUUCUGGAGAAGUUUCUCCCUACUACUCAGCGAGAGGCCUAUCGGAGGCAGUUCGAGCGUCUUCACCAGGGAUCUAUGACAGUCACCCAGUACGAGACCAGGUUAAUUGAGCUGGCACGCCAUGCCAUUGUUAUACUCUCUACUGAGAGGGAGAGAGUGAGACAGUUUAUUGUUGGACUCAUACAGCCUAUUCGUCUCCAGAUGGAUAGAGAGGCUGGGAGCGAGAUAUCCUUUCAGGAGGCGGCCAAUGUGGCCCGAAGGAUUGAGAUGGUAUUGUCACAAGGGGGUGGUCACAAGGCAGAUAUGAGACUAGAGGUUAAGAUUCGCAUGAUAUGGGUCAUCCUCCUAGGCCCUUCCAGUCAGCACUCCAGGUUUCUCAUGGUACUUCAAGUGGUCGUGGUUCUUAGCUGCAUUAUUCUUAUCAACAGCCUGUGCACCACCACUUUAGAGUUUCCAGGCUCGCCAAUCCCAGCAGUAGAGAACUUCUUUUACUUAUGGCGACACAAGGCACAUUGCUAGGUAUUGUCCUCGAGCUUUCUUCAUAGCAAGGUUCACGUGCUAUGGUAGAGGCACCAGAUGUUCCACAGCCUACCAAGCUGGCUAGAGGUGGGGGUAGAGGUAGAGGUAGAGGUCAUAGAGGUGGAGCUCAGACCGCCAGAGGUAGAGUCCAGCACACAGCAGGUCAUCCUAGAAAGGUAGAUCAGAGUGGUGGGGCCCAGCCCCGAUGUUAUGCUAUUCAGGCCAGGCCCGAGGUAGAGGCUUCGGAUGCGAUUAUUAUAGGUAUGGUUCUGGUAUGUGAUAGAGAUGCUUCAGUGUUGUUUUAUCUGGGGACUACGUAUUCGUAUAUGUCAUUUUAUUUUGCCCCAUACUUGAUCAUGCAUAGUGACGCAUUGGAUAUUCCUGUUUAUGAGUCUACACCAAUGGGUGACUUGAUUAUGGUCGGUCGAGUCCAUCGUUCUUGUGUUGUGGUGAUUGGGGUCUUGAGAGUCGUAUAGAUUUGUUGCUUUUAGAUAUGGUUGAUUUAGACAUUAUAUUGGGGAUGGGCUGGUUAUCACCUUAUCAUGCUAUCUUGGACUGUCAUGCCAAGACUGUGACCUUAGCUUUACCGGGUAUGCUUUGUUUAGAGUGGAGAGGGACUCUAGGUCAUUAUACCCGUAGUGUUAUAUCAUAUGCGAAGGCUCGGCGUAUGGUCAAGAAGGGGUGUUUGGCUUAUUUGGCUUAUGUUCGGGAUUCUAGUGUCGAGGUUCCCUCUAUUGAUUUUGUUCUCAUUGUUUCUGAACUCCCCAAUGCUUUUCCUUCGGUCCUGCCAGAUAUGCCACCAGAUAGGGACAUUGAUUUCUGCAUCGAUUGGUUUCAGGCACUCAGCCCAUUUCUAUUCCGCCAUAUCGUAUGGCCCCGCCUGAGUUGAAAGAGUUAAAGGAACAGUUGCAGGAUUUGCUUGAGAAGGGUUUCAUUUGACCUAGUAUACUAUCACGGGGUGCGCUAGUGUUUUUUUCCAAAAAGAAGGAUGGGUCAAUGAGAAUGUGUAAUUAUUACUGGCAAUUGAAUAAGGUAACAAGUAAUAAUAAGUAUCCACUAUAGAGGAUUGAUGAUUUGUUUGACCAGCUUCAAGGCUCUAGGGUAUUUUCCAAGAUUAACUUGCAAUCUUGCUACCAUCAGUUUAGGAUUAGGGCAUCUGAUGUCCCUAAGACAGCUUUCCGCACUCUGUACGGGCAUUAUUAGUUCUUUGUUAUGUCAUUCGGGUUGACAAAUGACCCAGCAGCUUUCAUGGGCUUGAUGAACUAAGUGUUCAGGCCUUAUUUGGACGCAUUCAUGAUAGUUUUUAUUGAUGAUAUGUUGAUAUAUUCUCUUAGCCAGGAGGAGCACGAGUAGCACCUUAGUGUGGUUCUUCAAACUCUAAUGGAAAGUCAGUUAUAUGCUAAGUUCUCAAAGUGUAAAUUUCGGUUGAGUUCAGUAGCAUUUCUGGGUUAUGUUGUAUCAGCAGAGAGUAUUCAAGUGGACCCAAAGAAGAUUGAGGUAGUCAAGAGAUGGCCUAGACCAACAUCAGCUACAAAGAUUCGGAUUUUCUUGGGGUUUGCAGGCUACUAUCGACGGUUCGUGGAGGGUUUUUCAUCUAUUGAAACAGCGAUGACCAGAUUGACCUAGAAGGGUGCCUAGUUCAGAUGGCCAUAUGAGUGUGAGGCGAGCUUUCAGAAGCUCAAGACAGCUCUGACUACGGUACCGGUAUUGGUUUUUCCCACAGGUUCAAGGCCUUAUACAGUCUACUCUGAUGUUUCCCGUAUAGGGCUUGGUGUAGUGUUGAUGCAGGAUGGAAAGGUCAUCGCCUAUGCUUUGAGGCAGUUGAAGAUUCACGAGAAGAAUUAUUCGGUUCAUGAUCUAGAGUUGGCAUCCAUUGUUCAUGCAUUGAAGAUCUGGAGGCAUUAUCUAUACGGCGUGGCAUGUGAGGUGUACGCUGAUUACAAGAGUCUUUAGUAUUUGUUCAAGUAGAAGGAGUUGAAUUUGAAGCAUAGAAGGUGGUUGGAGUUGUUCAAAGAUUAUGAUGUUACUAUCUUAUAUCACCCGGGAAGGCCAAUGUGGUGGCCGAUGCUCUGAGUAGGAAGCCUGCCAGCAUGGGCAGUCUUACUUAUAUUCCGAUCAGUCAGAGGUCGCUUUCUUUGGAUGUUCAGAUUUUGGCCAAUCGAUUUUUGAGGUUGGAUAUUUCUGAGCCUAGUCUGGUGUUAGCUUGCACAGUCGCUCGUUAUUCAUUAUUGGAGCGUAUCUGUGAUCGGCAGUUUGAUGAUCCCACGUGUGUGUCCUUAGAGACACGGUGCAGCGAGAAGGUGCCAAGCUGGUUAGGUUAGAUGCCGAAGGAGUCUUGAGAUUGCAAGGGCGAGUUUGUGUGCCCAAUGUGGAUGGGCUUCCAGAGUUGAUUUUGGAGGAGGCCCAUAGUUCCGGGUACUCUAUUCAUCCUGUCACUGCGAAGAUGUAUCAGGAUUUGCGGCAACAUUAUUGGUGGCGUAGAAUAAAGAAGGAAAUUGUGGCAUAUGUGGCGCGUUGUUUGAAUUGUUAGCAGGUUAAGUACGAGCAUCAGAGGCCUCGUGGUUUAUUUCAGAAUAUUGAGCUUCCCGAGUGGAAGUGGGAGCGGAUCACUAUGGACUUUGUUAGUGGACUUCCGUUGACUCGGAAGAAGUUCGAUACGGGUUGGGUCAUUGUUGAUAGGCUGACCAAGUCAGCGCAUUUCAUUCCGGUGGCAGUCUCCUAUUCAUCCCAGAGGUUAGUUAAGAUCUAUAUCCGGGAGAUUGUUCGCCUUCAUGGUGUGCCGGUAUCUAUCAUUUCAGACCAAGGUACGCAGUUUACCUUGUGUUUCUAGAAAGCAGUUCCGCGAGUGUUAGGCACCCAAGUGGAGUUGAGUUCAACAUUUCAUCCUCAGACGGACUGGUAGACCGAGCGGAAUAUUCAGAUAUUGAAGGAUAUGCUCUCUGAGCUUGUGUUAUUGACUUUGGAGGUUCAUGGGAUCAGUUCUUGCCUUUAGCAGCGUUUGCCUGCAACAACAGCUACGAGUCGAGCAUUCAGAUGGCUCCUCAUGAGGCUUUAUGUGGUACGCGGUGUUGAUCUCCGCUUGGAUGGUUUGAGACGGGAGAGGCUUGGUUGUUGGGUACGGAUUUGGUUCAGGAGGCCUUGGACAACGUCAGGACCAUUCAGGAUAGGCUUCGUUCAGCUCAGUCUAGGUAAAAGAGUUAUGCAGAUCGUAAAGUUCGAGAUAUAGCAUUCAUGGUUGGUAAGCGGGUAUUGCUCCGAGUGUUGCCUAUAAGGGCUUGAUGAGGUUUGGGAAGAAGGACAAGCUUAGCCGUAGAUUCAUUGGUCCGCUUGAGAUUCUUAAUCGAGUGGGAGAGCUGGCUUAUAGACUUGCAUUUUCGCAUAGCUUAUCAGCCGUGCAUUUGUUUCACGGGUCCAUGCUUUGAAAGUAUCACGGCGAUCCAUCCCAUGUGUUAGAUUUCAGCACUGUCCAGUUGGAUAAGGACAUGUCUUAUGAGGAGGAGCCGGUGGCUAUUCAAGAUCGGCAGGUUCGACAGAUGAGUUCGAAGAGUUUUCCUUCGGUGCAUGUUCAGUGGAGAGGUCAGCCUCCUGAGGCAUCAAACUGAGAGUCCGAGUCUGAUAUGCGUAGCCAUUAUCCCCAUCUUUUUCCCAACUCAGGUACUUCUUUCCUUUGUCCGUUCGAGGAAGAGUGGUUGCUUUAGAGGUGGAGAAUGUGACGAUCCAAAGGGGUCAUCACCUGUUUAUUUAUUCGUUAUGUGCUUCUGAGGCCUUGAACAACUAAAUUAGGGUUGCCUCGAUUUACGUGCGCAAUUCGGGCGUGUAGCCGAAAAACUUAAAUAUGAAUUAUGUGAGAAAAAUGCUAAAUUUUGAUAUUUAAAAUGAUUACAUUUGACUUGGGUCAAUAUUUUGAGUAAACGGACCCGGAUCCAUAAUUUGCGGGUUGUAGAGGGUCCGUAGGAAAAUAUAGGACUUGGGCGUAUGCCCGGAAUUGAAUUCCAAGGUUCCAAGCCUGAGGAAUGAAUUUUUGAGAAAAAUUAUUUUCUAGAAAUAAUUAUGAAAAAUGGAUAUGAAAUUCUAUUAGAAGAUUAUGGUAUCGGCCCCUAUUUUGGUUGCGGCGCCUGGUAUAAGUCUUAUAUGUGAUUUAAGCACUUCUAUAAAGUUUGGUUAACCAGACGUCGUUUGACGCAAUCCGAACCCUAAUUGGGAAUUAUACUUAAAAUGGAUAUUUGAGAAAUUUCAUUGAUCUUGAGGCUCAAUUCCAUGUUCAUGAUGCUAUAUUGGUGAUUUCAUUACACGAAUAUGUUUAUAAGAUGUUUUGAGGUGUGUAUGCCUGGAUUAGAGUUUUGAGGGCUCGGGUCAGCUUUGAGUAGGUUCCGGGAUGCCUUAGGCUUAAAAAGAUCAUAUGUUGCAGGUUCAGAAAUUUGGCAUGUCUUUGAACCCUCUAGCGCAGCCCGCGAGAAAUCGCAUGCGGCCGUGGAGGGUCCAGCACGGCAGCAGUCGAUCACACGAAUAUGUUUGUAAGAUAUUUUGAGGUGUGUAUGCCUUGAUUAGAGUUUUGAGGGCUCGGAUGAGAUUUGAGUAGGUUACGGGAUGCCUUAGGCUUAAAAAGAUCAGAUUUUGCAGGUUCGAAAAUUUGGCAUGUCUCUGAACCCUCUAGCGCGGCUCGCAAGAAAUCGCUUGCGACCGCGAUCGCCUUUGCCUGGUGGGUGUUAUGCGGCCGCGGUCGGUUUGGUGCGGUCCGCACUGGGCAAUAAUCCGCAGGCCUUCAAAAAGUCUGUGUAGCCGCGGUCCUUUUUGCGCGGUCCGCACAGGAACCUCAGAUGGGUAUAAAUACACGUGAAUUUCAGUUAUUUUACACUUUUCAAAAACCACAAAACUUAAGAGACGAUUUUCCAAACAACUCUUCUUCUCCAAAACGAUUGGUAAGUGAUUUCUAACUCAUUUUCUUCACUCCUUAGAAUCUUUUAACAUGUUCUCAACUUCAAAUAAAAGAUUUUUAUGGGAAAAUUGGGUAUUUUUUGUAAAACCUAGGUUUCCUAAAAAUUGGGGAGUUGGAUCUCAAUUUGAGGUAUGAUUCCAAAACAAAUAAUAUAUUUGGAUUCGUGGGGAAAUCGAGUUUGGUUCCGAACCUCUAGUUUCGACCACGUGGUCCCAGUGGCAUUUUUGACCUUUCGGGGUAAAAUUUUGUAAUACUUAUUUUCAUGCAUCGGGGUUGAUUCAUUUAGCAUUUGUUAAUGAGAUUAAGUACCUUAUGAUUAGAUUCGAGCGGAUUGGUGGUGGAACCAAGGGGGAAAGCUAUAAUUGAGGCGUGAGUUGAAUUCAAGGCAUUGAGGUAAGUGUUCGGUCUAACCCUAGCUUGAGGAAUUAGGAAUUGAGUCUUAUGUGCUAAUUGCUCUUUGUUGAGUACGGAGUGUAGGCAUGGUGACGAGUAUCUAUACGUUUGUGUCAAGCAUGACUGUGGGUCCUAAAUUAGAAGUUGUUGUAUUCUUAAAUGACAUCAUGUAUGCCUUAACUAAUGAUCUACCGUAUUAGGCAAAGAUUUGUUUAUCCUCGUAGAUCCUAAUUAUGAUUGAGUAUGUUCAUUUAUCAAACUAAGUUAAGGUUGGUUAUAGUUUAUUCUCCCUUGCCGGGAUGAUUGUUUCUAUAUUGUUGUUCCCUUGCCAGGAAUGUAUUAUGUUACUUUAUUCCCUUGCCGGGAAUUUAUUAUGUUACUUUAUUUCCUUGCCGGGAUUUCUUAUGAUUAUGUGAUAACAUGAAAUGGGAUCGAGUGGUAUGCCUACCACAAGAUAUAGUAAAAUGGGAGUGGAUGGUACGCCUACCACCAGAUAUUGAAAUGGGAGCGAGUGGUACGCAUGCCACAAGAUAUUGAAAUGGGAUCGGGUGGUACGCCUACCAGGAGAUGUAAUGAAAUGGGAGCGGGUGGUACGCCUACCACAAGAUAUUGAAAUGGGAGCGGGUGGUACGCCUUACCACAAGAUAAUGAAAUGGGAUCAGGUGGUACGCCUACCACAAGAUAUUGAAAUGGUAGCAGGUUGUACGCCUACCACAAGAUAUUGAAAUGAGAGCGGGUGAUACGCCUACCACGAGAUAUUGAAAUGGGAGCGGGUGGUACACCUACCACGAGAUAUAAUGAAAUGGGAGCGGGUAGUACACCUACCACGAGAUAUUGAAAUGGGAGCGAGUGGUACGCCUACCACGAGAUAUAAUAAAAUGGGAGCAGGUGGUACGCCUACCACGAGAUAUAUUGAAAUGGGAUCAGGUUGCACGCCUGCAACAAGAUUGAAACCUAAAGUGAAAGUUAUCUUUACUUCUUUUUACCCGCGUUAGAAGUUAAAUUACAGUUUUUCCUUAUUGUUCUUAAUAUUCUGCUUACUUGUUAUCCCCACAGCAUGUUCCCCCCUCCCCAGCGUUAAGUGCCUAUUACUUUUUUACUUUUCCGUUAUAUAUUAUAUAAUUGCACUGGCUUAUCUGGAGUCUGGUCCUAGCCUCGUCACUACUUCGCCGGGGUUAGGCCAGACACUUACCAACACAUAGGGUCGGUUGUGUUGAUGCUACACUCUGCGCUCUUUUGCAUAGAUCCAGGUGAUGGAGUAGCAUUUGGGCAGCAGUACUAGAUCGGGAGCCAGCCUUCAGUCCACUGAGACAUCAUGGUAGCCUUGCAGACGUCCUCAAGCCCGGAUUCUCCUAUAUCUUGCCUUUCAUUUUGUUAUCUCAUGUAUUCCGAGACAAAAAAUGUUAUAUUCUUUUCAAACGGUUGUGUGUAGUACUCUUGGUGGUUCGUGAGUAUGUGACACUAGUUGUUGGGUAUAGAUUAUGUUGAUUUUUUCGCAUUAUUGUUCAGAUUAUUUAACUUAAGACUUCCGCUUAUUUUUUUAUUCCAUUAUUUCAUGGUAUUACCGAUAAUUGCUAAAAGGAGUAAAUCAGUUAUGAAAAAUGGUAGUUAAAGGUUGGCUUGCUUAGCUCUCAAUAGUAGGCGUCAUCACGACUCCUGAGGGCGGAAAUUCCAGGUCCUGACAAUGACUGAGUACAUAUAUGAAGUCAAAACAGCAAGGAAUAGUAGUAAAAAAUUCCGAAGGGUCCAAAACAGUUGGCACGAGGCGCAAAUAUGGUAUUCAUCCCAAAACAUAGUGAUAACAUAUAGUUUUCAAUCAAAUACGUGGUUAAAAAGUAAUACGAGACAGACUAAUUAACAAUCCCCAAUGGUGCAUGACACCACGCUCGUUAUCUAGCGUGUGUGUAACCUCAAAGUAGCAUAACGAUGUGAAAUUCGUGGUGUCAUACCCUGAGGACAUCAUUUACAAUCAUUACUUACCUCAAUACGGUCCAAACUCUAGCUUGCGAUGCUUUUUCCUCUCGACUCGGCCUCUAGAUGCUCCAAAUCUAACCAAAAGCAGUACCAUACCAUUAAAAUAUGCUAGGAGAAUAAAGCCCACUCGAAAAUAACUAACUUACAUAUAGAUGCCCGAAAUUGACGAAACCCGGCCUGGGGCCCACACCUUAGGUUCUCAUAAAAUUUACAAAACUGGAAUCCUUACACUUUCACGAGUUAAUACAUACCAAAUAUACCAAAAUCCGACCAAAAUGAUCCCUCAAAUCCCUAAUUUUAGGUCUCAAAUUUUACAAGCACUAACCCCCACUUGCUACUGAUUCUCCCAUAGAUUUCAUGCUUACAACCUUAAAAAUUAUCAUAAAAAUGAGUUUAUGGACCAAAGACCUUAUCUCUAAGAAACCCUCUUGAAUUCUCCCUUCAAUUAGCUCUCCAAAGCUUCUUCCCGUUUGAAAUGUUAUGAAAAACCUCUCAAAAUUGUGAAGGGUGAAAUAAACAUAUUCUGACCCAGCAAAAGUGCAUCUGCAGUCCAAUUCCCGCACAUGCAGGACCGCUUCUUCAGAUAAUCAACCACUUUUGCGGUUUCUCAUUUAAUUCCCUUAUCCGCACUUGCGACGCAAGCUCUGCAUCUGCGGGAUCGCAAGUGUCCCACACCUUCAGCAUCUGCGACUUCUACCUUCUUCGCAUGUGGCCACAUCUGCGACUUGAUCUCACUUCUGCGGUCAUUGUACCUGCGACUCCCUAAUCGUAGGUGCGGUUAUGACAGUGGAAUUAGCAGCUGAAGCUGCUCCAACAAUUUCCCAAGUACAAACAAUUCAUAUACCACCUUCCAUACUUACACAAAUCUUCAAAACACCUCAAACAACAUUGAAUCAACCAAAUAACAUCGGAUUCAAGCCUAAGAUCUCCAAAAACUUUCGAAUUUUUCUUUUGAUAAAAAAGUCUCAAACCUUGUCCGAAUGACCUGAAAUUUUACACACACUUCACAAAUGGCACAACUGACCUGCUCCAACUUUUGAAAUUCCAUCUGACCCCGAUAUCAAAUUUCCACUAUCGAUCGAAAAAUGCCAAAAUUUAAAUUUCACCAAUUCACGCCUAAAUCUACUUUGGACCUCCAAAACAUAUUUCGAUCACACUCCUAAGUCCCAAAUCACCUAAUGGAGCUAACAAAAUAAAAAAAAUCCAAUUUGAGAUCAUAUGCUAACAAGACAAAACUUGGUGAAAUCUUUCAAAUUUUAAGCUUCAAAUUGAGAACUGUUCUUCCAAAUUCAUUCCGUUUACCCUAAAAACCAAAACCGGCAAUUUAUAUAAGUCAUAAUACAUCACACGGGGCUAUUCAUGCCGAGAACUAGCGAGCGAAGUGCAAAAGCUCAAAAUAAUCUAUCGGAUCGUUACACAAAGGCAUGCCACUUAAAGUCUUACAAUAUUGUAUUCCUUAUGCGUUGAUGUUUGCGAUUUGAAAGUUCAAUAUAUUUAUUGAGAAUGACUAUAUGCAUACACAUACGGUUUUAUGCAGUUAGUGAUAUUAGGGGGAGCAUCGGUCGGUUUAGUUCGGAUUUGAACAUUAUCGGUUUUGCCUAUCGGUUAUCGAUUUACAAAUAUAAUAACCCGAUAACCAAACCGAUAAGAUAUUGGUUAUCGAUUAUCGAUUAAUCGUAUUGGUUCGGUUACGGUUUAACCGAUAAGAUAAAAUAAUAAAAUAUUUUGUAAUAUAUAAAACAAAGAAAUCAAAAUGCUUGAACGUGUAAACUAUAAACUGCCAACUUUUGUUGUUUCUUAACAAACGUACGCUCCCGCUUCUGUGCAGUAUCUACUGAUACACAUCAUGGAUCAACACCAAUUGUGGUGGAACCAUCCUUAUUCUUGGAAUGACAAUUUCACAUGAGUAGAGAAGACACCAUACCACUCCAAAGAGUCACAGUAAAGACAUCGCACACAGUUUCACAACCUACCCGAACAAAUCCAAUCAAAAAAAAAAUCUGAUAUACUAAAUACUACAAGAUCAUUCUAAAAAAAACUUAGCACUUCAAGAUGCCCACUACAAGACUCACAUAUAUAAGAUAGCCUAUAUAUAUUACUGGGUAAUGUGAAGGUUACGAAAAGUCAAAACAAUUAACAAUAAGCAAACAGAAAAAUCUUGAGCCAAAACUUACACGAUCCGAUUGAUGAUUGAGGGAGUGAACCGUCAUGACUAGUGGAGAACUGGAGAGGCACUGGCGUCUGGCGGAGAAUUGGUGGUGAGUCUUGCGUCUUGACUCUUGGGGGACUGCGGCAGAAACAGGAAUGAGAACUGAGAGACAGACGACUGAAGGUUGAAGAGUGAAGAGGGAAUUAAGAAAAUUAAACCCUAGUAUAUACUUAGGGUAAAUUAGUAAAUUACUUUAUUCUUAUUGGAUUAUCGGUUUUUACCCAUUAACAAAAAUGCAAACCGAUUCCGAAUAGAUAACCCAAUGAUAAAAAAAAUUAACCUGUUACCAAACCGUUAACCCAAUAACCCAAUACCGGUAACCCAAUAAAGAAUUAACGGUUCGGGUUAUCGGUUUUACCCGAUAUAUGUCUACCCCUAAGUGAUAUAGUAUUAGUUGUGUUAAUUUAGUUUUGUAAUUGUUAGUGGCAUUUUUGUAAUUACACUUUCCUUAUUCUUACACACGUGUAUAUACAUACUCAGUAGAAGUGGAAAUAACUCAUUUUUAUUUUCCCCAAUUAUUCUUUCAGCUUCAAAGAGUGCUUUAUAGUGGAAACCAAAUCCCUUUGAUCUUAAUUCUUAACAAUAUUUAUAUUAUAUAGGCUAGAUAUAUUGUAUCUCAAUGUCAAAAUUAAACGUAAGAAGCACACCGAUAUUUGAAGUAUAAACAAAUCAUGUAAAGGCUCGUCCUCACGACUCCCCACAAAAAAAAAGGAAAAACAAGAGAAAGGAAUAGGAAAACAACAUGAAUAAUAUAAAUGCUUGGAACCUUCUUUUGUCCAAUAGGUUGUGCUUCUAGAAUAACUUCUCUUUUGGUUUUAACAUUUUGCACUUCCACUCUAUUUCGGCAGUACUUAGUAUAAACCACAAGUACACCACAUAUCAAUUCGUUUUUUUACCUUCGAAAACAAUUGUAUGUAAUAUAGUAAAGAAUAGUCUAGUGAAAUUAUACAGGAGAUAUCUUAUAAAGGAAAUCUGAAGCCACACCAAAGGUGAGUAAUCUGAAUUUUUAUCCUUAAGAAUUGUAAUGGACCAAUUGAAUUGAGUAGUUAGUAGAAAUUUGAGAUGGCUGGUGAGAAGUAGUACUUAGUAUAAAUCACAAGUGCACCACAUAUCAAUUCGUUUUUUUUUUUACCUUCGAAAACAAUUGUAUGUUAAUAUAGUAAAGAAUACAACAACAACAACAACAAUAACUAUCCAGUAAUGUCCCAUACAGUAGGGUCUGGAGAGGGUAAUAUGUAGACGAGCCUUACCCCUACCCGAAAGGGCAGAAAGGUUGUUUCCAAUCGAUCAUCGGCUAAAUGAAGGAAAGGAAAAACAAAAAUAAAGACAAAAGAGCAUUAGUAACACCAGCAGAAAUAUCGUAAAUAAUUAUCUAGACAUAAGAGCCAUAAAUAAAAUAGAAACAAAGACAAAAGAGCAUUAGUAACACCAACAGAAAUAUCGUAAAUAAUUAUCUACAUAAGAACCAUAAAUAAAAUAGCAUACAAUAAUAUCAGACAGUAACUACCAUAAAUAAAGAAUAGUCUAGUGUAACUACCAUAAAUAAAGAAUAAUCUAGUGUAACUACCAUUAAUAUAGUAAAGAAUAGUCUAGUGAAGUUAUACAGGAGAUAUCUUAUAAAGGAAAUCUUAAGCCACACCAAAGGUGAGUAAUCUGAAUUUUUAUCCUUAAGAAUUGUAAUGGACCAAUUGAAUUGAGUAGUUAGUAGAAAUUUGAGAUGGCUGGUGAGAAGUACAUGAUAGUACUAUAUACUAGUAGAUUCGGACUUUAUCCAUUCUAUAGUAGUAUAUUUUAUUUUUAGUUUCCUUACACUGUAUUUGUUCAUACUUGGUAAUAAAAGUUCUAGUUACCCAAAAAAUAUAUAGUGAAAUUGAGUUACAAUAUUUAUAUUUAAUAUUCGUAUAUGUUCAUACUUGGUAAUAAAAGUUCUAGUUACCCAAAAAAUUAUAGUGAAAUUGAGUUACAAUAUUGAGGUUUCAAGAGAAUGAGGUUAUUGAGUUCAAAAUUUCAAAUCUUGCAUUUGCUUGUGUAAUAUUAUUUUUUCAUAUUCUCACUUCUCACCCAAUGUUAUAAGAGCCCAAUUGAAUUUGAAUUUACACUAAAAAAUCACUUAUCACAGGGAAAAUAUUUUCUAACAAAGAUGACUUUACAUUCAUGACAUGAAAUCUAGGGGACAUUUCUUCCAAGUCUAUGCGUCUAAAUAUUUGACCCUUCCUCCAAAGUUACAGAACUUUCUUUAUACAACAUUGUUUACUGCAACAAAUCGAGCUUGAUUAACAACCAAAAGUUUUGAAAGGAGCACGAAGUGGUUGCCAUAACCACGUGUUAUAGCAACCCGUUUUUGUUGCAGUAGGAGAUCUUUAGUCAAUCCACUCAAUGUAACGAUUCAAACGGGAGGUUUUGAUAAUCGAAAACUUGUUUCAUUGUAACAAUCUAACCGGAUAUUUUGAGCCUUAACGCGUCGUUCGGCGGUUUGAGGUCUUGAGUGUAGCAUCACUUCAUGUAUUACGACUUAUACGUGUGGUCGGAAUUGAAUUUUGGGAACUCCGGAGUUGAUUCGGAAGAAUAAUUCUCAAUUCGAAAACUUUAAGUAAAAAAAUUGACUAAAAAUUUGACUUUGAAUAAAUGAUAUCGAAAUCAGGAUUUUAAGGUUCCAAUAGGUUCGUACGAUGAUUUUGUACUUGAAGUAUGUUCGGGUUGAGUAUCGGGUUGUCCGGGAGCAUUCCGACGCUUAUCAUAGAAAGUUGGCAUUUUGAAAAUUUAAGAAUUUCUUAAGUUUGAUUUGAAGUGAAUUUUGGUGUUAUCGAUGUCCGUUUGGAGUUCCGAGCCUUGGAGUAGGUUCGUAUUUUGACUUGCACACAUUUGGCGUUAUUUUGGGAUGUUUAGGUAUAACUCUAACGUGUUCGGCGAAGUUUAAUAGUUUGAAAGUUUAAAGAAAUAUUUCGAUCGCGGGGGCCUAGGGAUGGUUUCGGACCAAGUUCAGAUGAAUUCCCGUUGUUGGUUGCUGGUGUCUGGUUUUGUUCUCCGUAAACGCGAAGGGAUUCACGCGUUCGCGAAGAAGGAUUUUUGGGGUAGCUGGAUUUGUUCAUCGCGAACACGUCUCGUUGGUCACGAAUGCGUAGAGGAAUUUUGGAGGUUGUGAUUUUAAGCCUUCACGAUCGCGAAGAUGCUCCCGCGAUCGUAAAGAAGAACGGGCCUAGCCAGACUUGGUUUUAUACAGGAUUUGGCCCAUUUUCUUUUAUUUUUCACUUGGUUGGGGCGAUUUUUGGAGAGCUUCAAAGGGAGGUUUUUGUCAUCUACAACAAGGUAAGUAAUACCCACAUAUAUUAGUGAAAUACAUGGAUUACAUGGAUUUAAACAUGAAAAUUUGUGAAAAUUGUGAGAUUUUAAUAGAAAAACCUAAAAUUGAUAUUUUAAAAUUUCGACCACGAUUUUAAAAAUGAAAUUAGGAAUAAAUUAUGUAUUUGAGUUUGUAAUAUUAUGGAUAGAGUUUAUCUUCAAAAAAUUUUGAAAUACGAGCAUGUGGGUCUGAGUGUAGACUUUAUCGACUUUUCGAACGGAGUUGGAAAUUAUUAUAAAUUGAUUAAUUAUAAGCAUUGGAGUAUAUUUUGAUUGAUUUGCACAUUAUUUGACUGGUUUUGUUUCAUUUAUCUUUGAGUCGAGAAGUUAGAGAGGCAUUGAAGUCGAUUAUGGAUCUUCGGAGCAGGGUAAGUCUCCUGUCUAAUCUUGUGAGGGAAAAGUUACCCCGUAUGUGUUAUAUUGAUUACAUGUUACAUUUUGUGGGAGCUAUGCACGUACGAGGUGACGAGUGUCCGUACAUAUGCUAGAAUUCUUGACUAUGUCCGAGUAAACUAAAUUCACGCCAUGCUUUAAAUGUGUUAUUUGAGCUAUCAUUGUCACACCUUCUUUUCACCAUCCUGAGGAUGAUAUAUGGGAGUUUUUCCACUUUAAGUGAUAUUAUUCGAGACGGAAUUAUUUAUUUAUCAGAGUCGCCACUUGGGAUAGUUUAAUUGGUGUCUCAAUUCACCAGUUUAUUGUAAAAUCCCAAAUCGAGAAAAUUCGAGUUCUAUUUUUUUAGUCUGCGAACCAGAAAUUCUAAAUAAGGAAUUCUGUUAACCUGGGAGAAGGUGUUAAGUAUUCUCGAGUUCCGUAGUUCUAUCAGUCACUUAAACUACCUAUUAUCUGAUUAAUUGUACAUUUUAAACAUAUUGUGAAUUUAAACCUUAUAACCGCUUUUAGGUUUAUGAAAUUAUUUUCUUGAACAAGUUACGAUUAUCGUAUACUUAUUGUUUUGGAACACACCACAAAUCACGCUACAUGAAAUGCACCUGCGAUUUGCAACAUGUUUAUUUUAUUAUUAUUCGAAGUAGUUAUGAUCGGGUUAGAAGAAAUGCACCCCCAAUUUUGUGAAUUAGGCAUCAUAACUAUGUCACGAGAACUCUACCCAUAGCCGCGAUAACUUGUUAUAAAACGCGCCUAAAGCAAGUUGCGAUGUUCACAAUAUUUUCUAAACUAUUUUGAGAUAUUGAUGCCAAAUUUAUGGACAAAAUGUUAUUGGGAUGUGAAUAGACUAGCUAACAUGAUAUAUUACUUAGCCCAAAUUUCUUAUGGUUCGAUACCUACCUUAUGACGAUUAUUCAAUUUCAACUAAUCAAACUACAACCCAAUAAAACAAAGCUCAAAACCUAUUAUCAAUUUUGGCCAAAUGAACUCACGUGACUCACUUAAUUCUAAUUUACCACAAAUGGAAUUCAAUUGCUAAAAGAAUAAAAUGAUAUUUAUUGUUGCAACUUACGAGGCACGUGACCAUAACAAUUCAACUAAUCUGAUAUCCAAAACAAUUAUGAAGAUCAAAUAGUAAAAGAAUUGCAUUUUUUGAAGAAUAAUACCAUGAGGCUUAACUUCAGUCUGUCAUUUCCUAGUACACAGAUAAAUCUUGACAUAAAUAAAUAAGAAGGUCCAUUAGUCCAUACUAUAUUAACUUUACCACAUUAAGAACUUGACCACUUCUUGGCAGAAUGGAUGAAACCACAUGUGAAAAAGAACACUCAUUCUUUUGAACUCACAAAUUAAAAAAUGAGAUUCAAUGUUUAAUCAAAUUAUGAAGCUUAGUAGAUUGAUUCAUGAAAAAGGUAAAAUACUUUAAAUUACCUUUAAAUUUGGCUUAAAUUAUUAGUAUUUUUUUAUGACAAAAAAUGUGUGCACUCACCUGCCAGGUGAAUUUUUCACGUAUAUGUGAUAUCUUUUUUGAAAAGUAAAAUAUCUUUUUUUUAAUCUUUUUAAGAUAUUACUUUUAGAUAAUUUAGGCUAAAUACUUUUAUUUUACUAAAAAUAAUAAAGUUUUAUCUAAAAACAUUUUUUUGAAUUUGACCGAAAAAUAAAGAUUUCUACAAUUAAAAUAAAUAGUUAAGUCAUCUAAAAAGUUAUAAAAAAAUACAUAGUUUGAAAUUAAUUAUUUUGGGUAUAAUUUUUUAUAUAGCUCUAAAUUACGGUGAUUUAUAACUAUGUAUUUUUUUACAAAUUUUUAUAUGACUUGACUACUUAAUUUAAUUGUAUAAAUCUUUAUUUUCAUGUUAAAUUCAACAAAAAAUAUUUAACUAAAACUUAUUAUUUUUGAAAAAAUAAAAAAAUAUUUACCAUAAAUAAUAUAGUUAUGUCCAAGUUUUAUUAUAAAUUAUUUUUGAGAAAAAAUAUCUAAAAAAUUAAUAUUCUUAAAAAAGGUAAAAAGAUAUUAUAUUUUUCAAAAAAAAUGCCACAUAUACUGAAAAAUCCAUAUGGCAGACGAGUUAGCUCACACUUUUUGCCAUAUCAGCAUCUAGGUGGUAGUAACUCUCAAAAGAUCAACUUAAAGAGAUAAUUAAGACCAAACAUAGUUCGAGAAGAAUACUAAUAAUUUGAGCCAAUUAUAAGGGUGGUUUAAAGUAUUUUUCCCAUGAAAAAUGACAGGACUUCCUUUAACAGAAGUACAUUUCAUGGAGAAACAAGAAUCAAACCUGAAUGAGAAUCUUUAGUUGAUGGAAAUUUCCAGUAAUUACACGAACAAGAUGAAUCAACAGCUACGGCCUCGACAAUAACGUAUAUGCGAUGGAAAAGAUCAUAUCGGCUACUUCUAAAACCCGAUUAAGAAGCAAAAACAACAGACUCCAAAAAUCCAAAAUUUCACCGACACAAACAACGAAUAGGAGGUGGCUAAUGACUAUUUGGGGGCGUGCGUGGCUGUUUGGAAAUGGCUGAAAGGUGUUUUUAGGGAGGAGAGGGUCGUUGAUGAGUUCUCUUUUUCCCAAGAGAGUAAUUAUGGAGAUUAGAGGAUUUUUCUUAUUUUUCCAAAAUGAAAUGGCUGCCGUGACUUUGAAAAAGAGGAAUAAUGAGAGUUCUUCUUUUUUUGUUUUUAUAUUUUUUACUUCUUAAGGCUGGUUUCGGUCAAAUCCGAAGAGAGUCCAUGCGGGAGUUGUUUUUUAG